CUCUUAGCUUAAGUUAAAGUAUCAAUUUGAAGAGUUGGAGAUAAUUAUAUUAGAG
rnacentral:tRNA from 1 species